UCCAGGGUGUGCUGUGACUCCACCCCAUGUCUGCAGGAGCCCCGAGGCAUUCGCCCCAGUGAGCUGACAGAUGACACCAUGACUAAGACCUUCAUCUGGGACUUUAUGGCCUGCUACCAAUCCAAGAGAUGAGUGUUAUUACCCACACUGCAAAUGAGGAUUUGCAAAGUCACACUCUUAGUAAAUGGGAGAACAGAUGUCUGCCUAAAAUAAUGAAAAUAUUUUAUCCACUAUGACACAUCGUGCAUCUAACCCCUCACUGGCAGCUUAAUAACUUUACCCUAUAACAAGAGGCAAGCUCAGAAUUGGAGCCAGCCACUUGGGACAUUUCAUCUUAGGACCAGGAUGCAGGACCACUUGAGAAGCCUGUGAAAUACUGAGGGAGACCAAGAGUGCCACAGAUAAAAGGAGUAGUGUACAUGCAAGGACAGAGGGACAGAGGAAAGACAUGCUGGUUUGUGCUAUGUCAACUUGGUUAUACAAAAACCCUGUGUUCCAGAUUCCCAUUCCCUGCAUGGUCUUGAGGUGUCUUGAGCACAGAUGAACUGAUGUGAACUUUGGAAGGCAGCAGUGAACUCCCAGCCGUCAUUAUCUGGAGGCUGUGAGGACUCGCACAUGCUUGCCAUGAGCUUCCUUUUAUGGUCUCACUUUGGCGAUGACACGCUUGUGGCUUCACAGCUUCACCAAGUCCCUUAGUCACCCAAUCUCUCCUGGACCUUCACUUCCCAGCUUCUUCCACAAUUGUGUGAGAUUUAAUUCCCCUAUGAAAUACCCAAUCCCAGGCUGGGCUUGGUGGCUCAAGCCUGUAAUCCCAGCACUUGGGGAGGCUGAGGCUGGUGGAUCACCUGAAGUCAGGAAUUUGAGACCAGCUUGGCCAACAUGGUGAAACCCCGUGUCUACUAAAAAUACAAAAAUUAGCCAGGUCUGGUGGCAGGUGCCUGUGAUCCCAGCUACUCAGGAGGCCAAGAAGGAGAAUGCUUUGAACCUGGGAGGGGGAGGUUGCAGUAAGCCGAGAUUGGGCCACUGGACUCCAGCCUGGGUGACAGAGCAAGACUCCAUCUCAAAAAAUAAAUAAAUGAAUGAAUAAAUAAAUACCCAAUCCCAUAAUUUUAUAUGGUUGUACCUUUCUGGUUGAGCCCUGACAAGUACUGGAUGUGACGAGGGGACUAGAUGUCUCAUUUCAAUUCACCAUCAUGAGAACCAACUCAACAAAACCUUCCCAUGGAAGGCUCUCACUUAGCACUGGAAACAAUGAUCAACUGGAAAUUGAGUUCCCAGGUGGCAGUGGACAGGAGUGGGAGUUUUCAUUCAUUAGUUCAUUGAUUCAACAUAUGUGUAGAUAACUCCCCAAAUGUGCCAGGUACCCUAGGCAGUGAAGAUACUCUUAAGCCGAAACAGGCUUACCAUCUAAUUCAUUAUCCAAACCAGAUCUGUUUGAGAGUGAGAGGGGAGACUAUUAAUAAAUAUACCAGAAAACCAGGCAUAAAAUGGGGCUGUACUAGACCCACCAGGAUACAGAUAAAAAGAUUCCUGGUUCUGGUCCUCAUGGUACUAACAGUCAGUAUGAAAGACAUCCUUUACUUUAAAAAUUAUUUCACGAAUAAAUGUACACUGACAAGGAUGAGAAGGGCUAACUAGAAUGGAGCUGAGAUAACACAUCACAGGAUGAUUGACCUGCUCCAGGAAGUUAGGAAAGGGUGCUGACUGCACUGAGAUCCCGGGCAGGGUUUCUCCCUCUCUGUCUUGGUCUUGAUCUCGAUUUGUUUUUCUGUGUUUUUGACUGGUGAAACUUACACAAACACUGGUAGAAAUGGGGCCAGCCAGGAUUGCUGAGUGAGCAGGUCACUUACGUGGGGAGUUUGUGGGCAGGCAAAGACCAUGUGAAAGUGUAAAAGUCAGACGUUCAUGAGUUGGGCUGUGCCCACCCUGGAAGAUGACCCUUGCCCUUGGAAGCUAAUCUGGUUCAGGGAAACAAGUCUUGACCUUGGUGGGAGACAGCCUUUUCCAUAUAUUGAAUUUUAAUCUUUAUCCUUUUGCUUUUAGAUCACAGAUUUUGGUCUAAACAUUGGGCUCACUCUUCACUAGCUGUUGGACAAGUUAUUUACUCCCAUUUGCUCCCUUUUAGCCUGAAUUCUCAUCUGUGAAAUGUUUAUCAAACUAGUAACACACCUCAUAGGAUUGUUUUAGUGAUAAAAUAAGGCUAAGAAUGUAAAUGCUUAGACAAUGCUUGGCACAGAACACCCUUCAUAUAAAUGGUACUUCUUGUCAUUGUGUUUAUGAGUGUAAUUAUUAUUAUUAUUGGGUCAUAAAACUCCUCAGUGAAACAUGUGGGAUAUUCUUUCAUAUAGUUGUUCCUUGAAGAACAAAGAUAAAUCACAGUUAAAAUGCUUCCAGGUUUCCUUCAUUUAUUCCCUUAUAAAUCUAAAACAUGAUUAUUAUCAAAAUGUUUAAAACAUUGCAAAAAUGAAAAAAAUAAAUUGUAUAUGUUUCUACAACUUAGAGAUAUAUGCUGUCAACACUUUGAUUUAUUUUCUUUCCAUAUUGUGCUGUGAAUAUUUAUGUGGUUGUGUUAAAUUAUAUAACGUAUUGUAUAUGCUGAAUUUUUCAAGUUUUCAGAUUUAAAAAUUAUAAAUGUUCAUUAUAGAAACAUUAGAAAUGCUUACAAAAUCCAUACUCAAAGCCUUGAAAGUACACAUCUGUUAACAUUUUGAGUUUAUUUUCU
rnacentral:lncRNA from 1 species